rnacentral:lncRNA from 1 species
UUGGGGCGUGCGGAGCUCCGGAGCGGGCACGUCGCGGGUGGCCGCGUACGCCGAGGGGGCGUGGCUGACGAGGCACCCGCAAGCUCCUAGGAUCCGGCUGCGUCAGGCUUGCAUCUCCGCGGCGGGGUGGCUGUAGGAUCCUGCCCUCGGAAGUACGCCCCUCUGCCUGGUGUUCCUGAGCGGAUCCUCUGACCCCGGCGGCCCUCCUGGCGCAGUCUUAGAUUUCCUUGGAUGAUGGCCUGCAUCUGACAGUCCCUCGACUCUUACUGGCUCAGCACCCCUGGCCCUCAGCGUUGACCUGGAAUGGCAGCCUGCUACACCCUGCCCAGCUGUUCCUUGGCCUAUUGUGUUGUGCCUGCCUCUUCUGUCCACACCAGGUCUUCUGUGAGCACUUCCCUCCUUUGCUCCCGGAAUGCUUCAUGGCAGGUGCCAUUGGCAGAGCCCUGGCAGUCCUGUCUAGAUGGCAGCCAGUUUCACCAGUGCACACCCUUGGCAGCAGAUGGACGGUACUUCAGGACAUGACCCUGUGUGUGUGUGUGUGUGCACCCCCGUGGAGCAGAACAGUUCAACUAACCAUUCUUCUGGCAGUAAGCCUGCAGAAAAGAGCCCUCCAGCUGGAUAUAUACCAGACCCUUGGCCACUCAGGACAGACUUCCACUGGGUUCUGACUCUGACCUGGCACCUUUGAUGGCUCUCCCGACUACUAGACUGCUUUUUUGGCCCAGCUGGGUGAUUAUAGGUCUUCCACUUUGAACACUGUUAGGACAAUCUCAGCUCUGUCAGAGAGCCUCAGUUGACUGACAGGCCUAGCUUGGGCCUGGGCCGCCCCCUACUGCAGUAGGUACCUUGCCUGCCUGAUGAUUAUGAACUCUUCUGCCGGGAUCUUGAAGAAGUUAUUCAAACAGUUUUGUUGUGUACCAUGCCACUGUCUCCUGCCUUCCACAUCAAGCCAGCCACCGGUGGCCGCAUAGCUGCCCACAGUAAGGCAGUAUUUAGUUAGUUGUUCUCAGUAGCCCUAGUACUCAGUAUGGGUACUUCCCUGAGGCCUGACCUCAGCAGCAGCUGGCCAAGGAGGGCUCCACUGGACCCGAGAGUCCCUGACCCAGUCUUGUUUUGCAUUUAGUCCUUAUUGUAGUGCCGAGGCCACAUGGCUCCCAUCUAAAGGAGGCAGCACCCAACUUGUACCUCUAAAAUCUGUUUAACUCCUCUCCUUGGAAGCUAGAACCAGCUUAUCUGGAAACCUUAGAACCUCAGAAAACAGAGAAGAAUUCUAAAACAUAAGGAGACCGGGAGUUGUAUCCGGGUGCCCUGUGGUGGGUGAACAAUGUCCCAGAGAUCCCACAAGAGCCAGCUCCCUGUUCACUACUCCUUGUCCCUGAGUUCUGAACACGCUCUAGUUAUGCAGCAGUGCCCUUCACCCAGACAGGACAGUGCUGUCUACAGAUGACUCCACCUACCCUGUACUGAGCCCCUAGCUGAGUUCCUAGCCCACACCGGACGUGCUGUUCUACCUGGGCAGUUUCGCAGGAAAGACUCUGUGAUCAGCCACCGUCAGAUUAUAGCGCCGUGUCCAGGUGCUGCCCCCACACGUGACCUUGGUGUUUCUCCGCCUCUGCCCUGCUCUCUGUGACGUUUGAUAUUAGGCUACAGUAGAAAGAAGACUGCUUGAAGGAAGCCACUGCUCCUUUUUUAAAUAUUUUGGUUGGUUUGAUUCUUUUGUUUUUGAGAUAAUGUUUCACUGUGUAGUCCUUCCUGGAACUUGAUAUAUACCAGGCUGGCAUUGAACUCUCAACCCUCUGCCUCUGCCGUCUGAGUGCUAGAACUAACUCUUUUUCUUUUUCUUUAAAUGGUAUAUCUAUGGAGUAUAGUAUAAUUGGAUAUAUAGAUGUAUAGCGAUCCAAUCUGGUGACUACCAUUUCCUUUUCGUAAAUGUUGAUAAUUUCUUUGUAUGGAAUUGUAUUUACACUCCUCUCAUGGUUCCUUAUAAAAGAUGAAAUAUGUUUUUGCUAACUCUUAAGCGCACUGUGCAGUGGAAGGUAUCUAAUCUUCCUGUCUCUUCCUGGCCUUUCCUGUCUCGUUACCAUUAUCUGUCUUCUGUUCCCGUCAGAUCAACUCUGAUAACUGUCGCAUACAGAUACAGAUACAUGUGGCAUUUGUGUCUCUACCUGUUUAGUUCAAUUAACAGUGCCUUUGGUUC